rnacentral:rRNA from 1 species
UACGAAGGGGGCUAGCGUUGUUCGGAAUCACUGGGCGUAAAGCGCACGUAGGCGGAUCUUUAAGUCAGGGGUGAAAUCCCGAGGCUCAACCUCGGAACUGCCUUUGAUACUGGGGAUCUCGAGUCCGGGAGAGGUGAGUGGAACUGCGAGUGUAGAGGUGAAAAUUCGUAGAUAUUCGCAAGAACACCAGUGGCGAAGGCGGCUCACUGGUCCGGUUCUGACGCUGAGGCGCGAAAGCGUGGGGAGCAAACAGGG